GGCUCAGGAUGAACGCUAGCUACAGGCUUAACACAUGCAAGUCGAGGGGCAGCAUGGUCUUAGCUUGCUAAGGCCGAUGGCGACCGGCGCACGGGUGAGUAACGCGUAUCCAACCUGCCUUACACUCUUGGACAGCCUUCUGAAAGGGAGAUUAAUACAAGAUGUUAUCAUGAGUAAGCAUUUUCGCAUGAUUAAAGGUUUACCGGUGUAAGAUGGGGAUGCGUUCCAUUAGAUAGUAGGCGGGGUAACGGCCCACCUAGUCUUCGAUGGAUAGGGGUUCUGAGAGGAAGGUCCCCCACAUUGGAACUGAGACACGGUCCAAACUCCUACGGGAGGCAGCAGUGAGGAAUAUUGGUCAAUGGACGAGAGUCUGAACCAGCCAAGUAGCGUGAAGGAUGACUGCCCUAUGGGUUGUAAACUUCUUUUAUAAAGGAAUAAAGUCGGGUAUGGAUACCCGUUUGCAUGUACUUUAUGAAUAAGGAUCGGCUAACUCCGUGCCAGCAGCCGCGGUAAUACGGAGGAUCCGAGCGUUAUCCGGAUUUAUUGGGUUUAAAGGGAGCGUAGAUGGAUGUUUAAGUCAGUUGUGAAAGUUUGCGGCUCAACCGUAAAAUUGCAGUUGAUACUGGAUAUCUUGAGUGCAGUUGAGGCAGGCGGAAUUCGUGGUGUAGCGGUGAAAUGCUUAGAUAUCACGAAGAACUCCGAUUGCGAAGGCAGCUUGCUGGACUGUAACUGACGCUGAUGCUCGAAAGUGUGGGUAUCAAACAGGAUUAGAUACCCUGGUAGUCCACACAGUAAACGAUGAAUACUCGCUGUUUGCGAUAUACAGUAAGCGGCCAAGCGAAAGCGUUAAGUAUUCCACCUGGGGAGUACGCCGGCAACGGUGAAACUCAAAGGAAUUGACGGGGGCCCGCACAAGCGGAGGAACAUGUGGUUUAA
rnacentral:rRNA from 1 species